rnacentral:rRNA from 1 species
AUUGAACGCUGGCGGCAGGCCUAACACAUGCAAGUCGAACGAGUGGCGGACGGGUGAGUAAUGUCUGGGAAACUGCCUGAUGGAGGGGGAUAACUACUGGAAACGGUAGCUAAUACCGCAUACCAUCAGAUGUGCCCAGAUGGGAUUAGCUAGUUGGUGGGGUAACGGCUCACCAAGGCGACGAUCCCUAGCUGGUCUGAGAGGAUGACGCGCCAAACUGAAACGGGGACACGGUACAGACGCGUAAGGGAGACAGAAGUGGGGAAUAUGCAACGAAGGGGGAAAGCCUGAUGCAGCCAGGCCGGGUGUAUGAAGAAGGCCUUCGGGUUGUAAAGUACUUUCAGCGGGGAGGCGUUACCCGCAGAAGAAGCACCGGCUAACUCCGUGCCAGCAGCCGAGGAAAUAC